AACGAACGCUGGCGGCAUGCCAAACACAUGCAAGUCGAACGAGAUCUUCGGGUCUAGUGGCGCACGGGUGCGUAACGCGUGGGAAUCUGCCCUUUGGUUCGGAAUAACAGUUGGAAACGACUGCUAAUACCGGAUGAUGACGAAAGUCCAAAGAUUUAUCGCCAGAGGAUGAGCCCGCGUAGGAUUAGCUAGUUGGUGUGGUAAAGGCGCACCAAGGCGACGAUCCUUAGCUGGUCUGAGAGGAUGAUCAGCCACACUGGGACUGAGAUACGGCCCAGACUCCUACGGGAGGCAGCAGUGGGGAAUAUUGGACAAUGGGCGAAAGCCUGGUCCAGCAAUGCCGCGUGAGUGAUGAAGGCCUUAGGGUUGUAAAGCUCUUUUACCCGGGAUGAUAAUGACAGUACCGGGAGAAUAAGCUCCGGCUAACUCCGUGCCAGCAGCCGCCGUAA
rnacentral:rRNA from 1 species